UACAGAGGUGGCAAGCGUUGUUCGGAAUUACUGGGCGUAAAGCGCACGUAGGCGGCUUUGUAAGUUAGAGGUGAAAGCCCGGGGCUCAACUCCGGAACUGCCUUUAAGACUGCAUCGCUUGAAUCCAGGAGAGGUGAGUGGAAUUCCGAGUGUAGAGGUGAAAUUCGAUAGAUAUUCGGAAGAACACCAGUGGCGAAGGCGGCUCACUGGACUGGUAUUGACGCUGAGGUGCGAAAGCGUGGGGAGCAACAGG
rnacentral:rRNA from 1 species